rnacentral:lncRNA from 1 species
UCUUGUCUCUAAAAGAUAUAUAUAUAUAUACACACACACACACAGAAUUAGAGAGAUGUGGCUUUGCAGCACGUUCCCACACAGAGAGGCAGGGAGGUCAGCUGGCUGUCAGUGCAGUGCCCAGGUCCAACAGAUAGGUAUGGUUGCCAAAAACCAGACAAAGGAGGUCACUGUGCCCACCUGAAGUGGGACAUUGGAAAGUUGCCAAGUAGAUGCUGUGGAAGGCAGCACAAGAUCAAGGGUAGCUGAACACCUCAGCACAUAAAGAAUCUUUCCAGGAAUCAUGAGAAGAAGGAAGAGCUUGAACAGAAGUGGUGAGGUCCAUGCAGUCGGAAGGGCUUUGGUGUGGAAGGAGCUGGGGCUCAUGCAAUAAUUCAGCAGUUUCUGGGACAGGAUAUGUGCUCAAGGUAUAUGAAUGGGCAUGUUGAGUUAUGACCAUCCUUCCCAUCGUGGCUAUGCUUAUAUGACUUCGGGGGCAAAGCUAGGUCCAAAAUAUGGAUGUGCCAGAGAAUAGGCUUUGGAUAAUUUAUAGAACGUCUUCUCAGCUGGCGCUUUGCAGUGAUGCGCUGGGCUGCCUCUUUGGGAGGGAAAGGGCUUAUGGAUUAGACAGCCCUCUGAGGGCUCACAGAGAGGGGCUUCUAUGGUGGGAAGUGCCCUUCACACUGAGAAUCGUGAUUCCAAAUGAAGGGUGUCUAAGUAAUGAUGAUGACUCCAUGUUGGAUGGUUAAGCAUCUGCCACUGUGGGUCACCUCGCCCAUGUAUCAGGGAGGAUCAAAGAGGACCCUCGAUCAUGGCCACACAGCUAGCAAGAGGAAGGCAGGACUGGCCCAGGGAUUCUGAUUCCACAUCAACAGAGUUUUUAACAUCCCCAGAGUGUCCCUGAUUCCCUCUUCAUGACGCUGCACUAGCUGCCAUAUUCAUACAGGGAAGCACACCAGCACCUGCAUCUCCCCUACUAACAGCCCUCCUCACAACCGCACUGCUUCUCAGCUGCCCUGACUGGUCUCAAUUAACAUUCAUUGAAUAAUGAGUAAAUAACUAAACGGAUGGACAAUUGAACCUCUUCCCUUAGAUGUCCAGCACUCUACACCUAAUGCUGCCCCUGGGUGUCAGCAAAUGAAACCUGGAGGCAGGAUUGUGGUACUCCUCCAAUGCCAGAGUUGGAGGAGAGAGAUCAUUGCUGGAAUGGAGAUCUGGGGCCCAGAGAACAGCUCCUACAGUCAGGAGUAAAUGGCAAAAAGCCACUAAUUCCAAUCUAAAUAGCUAAUGCUAUUGAAUACCUACUAUGUGCAGCACUUUCCUAAGAAUUUUUCAUGCAAGAACUCUUUGCAUCCUCAGAACAACUCUCUGUGGUAAUUGUUCCUCUAUUUCUAGUUUACGGGUGAGGAAACUGAGGUCAGUAGGUGUUAAGUAACUUGCUAUGCAUGCAUUAAGUAGCUGGUUGAGCUGAGGCUCAGCCCUGGCAGUGGCUUCAUCAUUGUGCCUUGUGAGCCCCUCCAAGGUCACAUGGUCCAGCAAACUACAGCAAACUGGGGAGUAGCCAGGAGUAAAAUCAUGUGGGGAACUUGAGGGGUGACUUCAGGGGAGGAACAGCCCCAUGUCUCAGUCUGUGAUCCCACACACAGAAGGACAUCAUUUGUGCUCAAGGUAACUUGAGCAGGCAGGGCAUGGGAGAGAAAAGAGGCUCAGGCCUGGGGCCCUGGGUCUGCUCAUCUCCGCACAACUUGUAUGUUUCUUGUCAAUUGUGCCUGAACAUACUGUAAAGCUUCUCCCUUAAAAAGCCAAAAGAGUAAAGUUUGAGGGAUUUGUAGGACACUAACAAGAACCAAACCUGAGGCUUAUUUAUGCCAGUCUAACUAUUAAUAGUUCCUGGAAUGGCUUUACACAAACAAGAAUAAGGCUGUCUAUCCCCACGCAGGAAAGUUCAUGUGCAAAUACCACAAGGCUGGACAGUCCGGCUGCAUGUGCCCUGCACCUGAGGCCCCCAGCCCAAGGGAACCCUCAGGACAAACAGCAGAGAAGCUCUGGGUGCCAGGGCAUCCUCCUCGACAGGCCCCCUACCCUGGCAUGGGCACGUGAGGCCUGAGAGCCCACUGGAGGUGGAGACAUUGAGGCUUCCACUAGUGGCCACUCAUGGCAGAGGCCAGGGACCCCAACCUGACUAGCCACUGCUCGUAGCCCAGGGGCUGUGCACCUUGGAGGGGUCACCAGCCCCUCUGAAGACCUGCCGAGUGCCACCGCAGGGCUCAAUUCAGGCCCUCCACCUCAUCAGAGUGACGGCUCAUCUUUCAAGGCUCCCAGAUCAGGAGUCUGUGUUCCACAUGUGUGCUGUCCAACCUGGUAGCCACAUGCAGUUGUGGGCAUUUAAAUUAAAAUUAACUGAAAUUAGAUAAAACUUUCAAUCCAGUUCCUAGUCACAGUAGCCACAUUUCAGUUGCUUAGGAGCCACAUGUGACUUGUGGCCGCUGCUUUGACCAGCACAGAUACAGAACUUUUCCAUCCUUGCAGAAGGUUCUAUCAGACAGUGCUGCACUAGAGAGUUUGGGAAGCCACCUUGUGACUUCCCCGGGUCCUCGGAGAGUUUUCUGUUUCUGCCUCCUCUGCUGUCGCUGCUGUCUCUUGGCCUUCAGACUGAGACAGGAGGCCCAGGCUGGGAGAGGCCCAGCAGCAGCUAGCAGCAAGCAGGACAAGGCCCACAGAGGGUGCCCUAUCAAUCAGACAUUGCUGGGUGCAUUUGCCGAGACUGGGAGCUCACACAGUGGCCAUGAGAGCAGCGACACAUUUCCAGCAGCGGAGCCUACAGUUAGAGGACAGAUCACGAGAGGUGUGGGGUCCACCCCAACUGGAGCAGGCCCUGAGCAGCUCCCAGAGCCCCCCACACACUGAGACUGCAGGUGUCGAAGUUGCAAUGGUAGCAGCCACUGCAGACAAUGGAUGCUCCCCCCCAGGUUUCCUGGCAUCACCUAAGCCCAAGUUUGUUUGAUGACAUCUGGAGCAUUAUGACAAGAAAGGAUCCCCAAUAAUGACAGAAUUUGAAUCUCCCAAUAACCAGGCAGAGAGGGUGAGGUAGGGCAGGGCGAUCUUGGAGCAGAUUUAAUAUAAUUUAGAGAUUUCUAGAGUAAAGGUACGUCACAUUUUGAUACCUUGGCAUUAUAGACUGGAAUUCAUACCCGUUAAACAAAUAAUUGAGCCAGUAUGGAGAAUUAUUACAUGGGGAAUAAGGAGGCUGAAAUUAAAACAGGGACAGGACAGAGAAUCCUGUUCUGAAAAUCCUGCUUGUCAUUUCCAAAGCUCGAGUGAGCAUUGAGGAUGUCGGGCUCAUCAACAGUACAUGAAACCAAGCCUGCCUGCCUUCCUCAGAGGCAAGAGUUAGGUCCACAUUUCCUGGCACGCAGCUCUGGGUAAUUCACAAUUCCGAAGCUGCCCCUAGAGAGACCAGCCUAUGUUGGCCAGGGCAAGUCCUUCUGUGAUUGCUCUCUGCCCUCUUGGGGCCUACAUGUCCACUGGGCAUGCUGGGCACAGUGCAUGGGGCCCAUGAUACUGUUAGGGGCCUGCACAAGUGUUUUAAUUUUGAUUUAUUUUAAAAUCAGAGGAAAACCACAAAUAAACGAAAAUGAAUGUAUAAUAAUGAAUCAGCCUGAAUGACAUUUAUCUUUCUGCCAGAGCAGUCACACUCUGCUUUUUCAUAAGAAAGUGGUCUGCAAAGACCAAAGCACCUGGGGUCCCUGGGCAUCACCAUGAGGCCAUGACCCUUGCCCCCUAUACCAGAGACCUGAAAGGCAGCUCCACACAGAAGUGACCCUGACACCCUGAAAAAUACUCCUACAGGUUGAAUUUCAGCUGGAAUAUUUUUCCCACCUCCCUCUGCAUCCGGCUCCAAAAAUAGUCAAAUCUCCAGGCAGGCAAAAUAGCUGGUCACCCAAAGACCUGUGACCAUCUGCCUGCUCUGCCAUCCUUAGCACUGGUUUCUUUCCUCCACAUUGUCUUAUGGCUUCAUGAAGGCUGUUGGAGCUCCAGCCAUCACGUCUGCAUUCCAGACAGGGGGAAGGAGAGAAUUCAGGUGCAAAAUGCUAAGCCUAUUACAUGUCAGUCUCCUUUAGAGAGCUUUUCUAGAAUCCCUAGCUAACCCUUUCAGCCUAUAUCUUUCAUUGGCCACCGUAUCUGUAAAGGAGACUAGGAAAUAUCGUUUUUUAACUGGGCACACUGUUGUCCCUAACAACAUGGACUUGUGGUUGACAACAGAGGAAGCAGAAGAGAAUGCAUACUGGAAGUCUCUACAACAGAGUGCUGAAGACAACCAGCUUGAUAUUGUAUAGUACUCUCUCCUGUGAGUGGGCCUGGGGACAAAUCAUUUAACUUCUCUGUAACCAGGGUCUACUUGAUGAAGUAACCUCAUUGCCCACACCAGAAGCAUCAGGAAGGGUACCAAGGAGAUGGUAGCUUCAAGGACUUUGGACCACUUGGAGGAGGGUAUUCAAAGGGACAGAAGUCACUUGCUUGAUUCUUGUAUUAAAAUCAAGUGGGAUUUCUUUUCAUUCAUGCAUUUCACCAGUACUUAUCACGUAUCCAAUAAAGCAACAAGGACAAUCCAAACACUGUUCUGUUGCCUGAGGGCUGACUUGGGGCCAGGCACUGUUCCGGAUCCUUUGCACAUGUGGCCUCACUUAGUCCUCAGAACCAUAUGUGGCAGAGUCUACCAUUAUCAUCCCCAUCAUUCAGAUGUGGAAUUGGGACAAAGAGGGGUUAAGGAUGAUGCCCGGGGUCACACUGUUAAUACACAAAGGAGCCUAGCUUUGAACAAACAGCCUAGCUCUUAGACCCCAAGGAGGUGGUAGCGAAUUGGCAGACAAGGUCUCACCUUUUUUUGUCUUUCUAGUGAAACACAUAUAAGCCCAAUUAUGUAAGGCCAUCAUAAAUUUCCCCCAGGAGACUGGCACAGGGAGAUGGGGGCUACUCUCACCUUCUGCAGCACACACCAAGAAUCUCUGCUGUGCUUGGGUUCAUGACUCACCCCUUCCCUCAAAGCCAGCUCUUCCUGAGUCAGGACCAUGUCCUUUGAGUCCUGAGGUGCAGCAAGGAAACUGUCCAGACUUGGCUUCAAAAGCCAGGCUACUUUCCAGCAAAGAGCCAAAUGGCUGGUUGCUUAGAAUUUUUAGAACAGGUUCAUCUCCAAGGACAUGGAGUCUAUUCACAUAAAUCAACCUGAUCAAAGGCCAGAGAAGCUAAAACUGUCACAUACCCAUUAUCUACUGGCAUAAUCAAGGCCAAAGGGAUUCAUAAGGAGGCGGUGGGUUUUGGAGGGAGAGUGCUUGCUGCUAUUUCACCUUGGACCUGAGUCCCCUCUUGUGUGCCCCUUGCUCUGCAUCAUCUCAGGGCCUUGCCUCACUCCUCCAUCUUCCUCCUCCAGCUCCUUUACAGAUAGGGUGGCCAGUGAAAGACUAGGCUGAAAGGGUUAGCUGGGAAUUCAAGGAAAGGCCUGCAGAGGAGUCUGACAUCUAGGAGGCUUUGCCUUUUGCCCCCCACUUCCUUCCUCUCUUCUGUCUGGAAUGCAGAAGUGAUGGCAGGAGCUCCAGCAGCCUUCUUGAAGCAUAAGAUAACUUGGAGGAAGGAAGCCAGUGCUAAGGAUGGCGGAGUAGGCAGAUGGAUGAACUGGCUGCCUGUUGACCCUUGUCCCAGAAAACCUGCUUCCUGUUUGAGGACGGAACAGAAAGAGCAAUAGAAUCCUUUUUCUGUGCAAGAGAAAUUAAGCCUGACUCUUUUCGGAGCCCUUGCUAUUUUAUACAUUUUCCCUUGUAUCUAGCUGAAUUGAUAGAAACUUAUCAAUGUAUUAAUCAACACUCCGUAAGUGAUUUGUCCAGUGAGAACAGCUAAAAUAAUACAUUUUCUGUCAUCAUUAAAAAUCCUGUGAUUUUUAGUCCAAUAAAUGUUUUAAAGGGCAGGAUGAAGAGAAGAGCUACAAGACCCUGUAACAGAAGCCCUCACUCGCAGGGUUAUCACUCCUAAAACAAAAGAUAAGCAGGAAAACCACAGUGGAUAAGAUCUGCUGUCAACCUUAGCUUUUCUGAUUACACAAAGUGCAAUAACAUCUAUUUUUUUUAAUCCGAAGGAAUCCUCUGACACCACCAAGCAUCCUGCCCACUCCUCCUUCCUGAGCGCUCAACUUCCUUCUGAUCUAUUGUCGGCUUUUCCUUGCCUGAGCUCUGUGAUCUAACCAGAACCCAACGGAACCUAUAGAGAGUCCAAUCCUUGCCCGACAGCCCUGAGCCAGGCCCAUAGCUGCCUAGCCUACAGCACUGGGGGCAGAGGGAGGUCCUCUGGAUUAUGGCACAGGGGGAAGUUGCAGGAAAAACUCCCCACAAAUUAGCACCAUCUACAAUUGACCAACAAAGUGCAGAUACUUCUCAGCAUUCAAAGCCUAAACAAUCAGGAUGGAGACGUAUAAAGCAUUCAAUGCUUCACGUUGGCAGGACGAUACCAGGUAUUUCACUGACAGGUGAAAUAGCAGAGUGACGGGACAGAGUGAUCAAGGCAGAGUGAUCUAAAGGACACAGUAGUACUUCUUUAGGACCCUGGCAGAAUGGAAGAGAGCAUCUGGCUUCUAAGGCACUGCACAAACUUGAAUGAUCUUCUUCAGAAUUGACAAGGAAAGGCCAUGUUAUGUUCACCCUGGGUUAAGUUUUAAGUGUAUCUUAUUUAAUUUUUUUCAAUAUGAGUCAUCUCCAGAUACUGUGAUGAUUUCCAAAUAACCAGAAUCUAGAUGACUAGAAAUUUACUCUAGCUGGCUUUAGACAGGAAGCGUGAGGACAGAAUCCAGCUGCUUCCACUCCAGGGUAGGUCUGAAGCCAACCGUCCUCGGUUUCCUGGCCUGUGGCAUCAGUCUGGUUGGAUUACACACAAAGCCCUGCAGAUCUGCUGCUUUUCCUGAUUCUCCUGUCCUGAGUGAGUGCAAGGGGCUCCCCUGUCGUCGAUGUGUUCUUUGAAGCAGAUGCUGUGCCUGAUACCUGCUGGAGAGUCCCACCGCCUUGAGCUUCUGGGUCGAGAAAGGCCAAGUUGCACACUACUGAGAGACUGCCAUGCACCCCCUGGAGGCCUCAGAACAUUCGACAUGCUUCAGUCAUGGCCACGGCAGUGACUGCUGAUUGCCUAACCCCACAUGUGUUCUCCCCCUUCCCUGAUAAUCAAGCCCCUGAUUUUCAGCUGGGCACAAAAUAAUUCUUCCUAGAACAACUCCAUGUGUGUUAUCGCCCUUGCAGCUGGGGGUGGCCACCACUGGGGAGAGGCAGGGUGAAGAGGUGGAAGGAGCCUGAGUUAGCAGGGAUGAGCAGUGGCCAGGUAACCCCAGACCCACUAUCCUCUGGAUUUCUUUUAUGUGAAACAAUAAAAUGUCUUGUAUUCGA